UACGGAGGAUGCGAGCGUUAUCCGGAUUUAUUGGGUUUAAAGGGUGCGUAGGCGGAAUAUCAAGUCAGCGGUAAAAAUUCGGGGCUCAACCCCGUCGUGCCGUUGAAACUGGCGUUCUUGAGUGCUGGAGAGGCAAUCGGAAUUCCGUGUGUAGCGGUGAAAUGCGUAGAUAUACGGAGGAACACCAGUGGCGAAGGCGGAUUGCUGGACAGUAACUGACGCUGAGGCGCGAAAGCGUGGGGAGCAAACAGG
rnacentral:rRNA from 1 species